GAUGAACGCUGGCGGCGUGCCUAAUACAUGCAAGUCGAGCGAACGGACGAGAAGCUUGCUUUUCUGAUGUUAGCGGCGGACGGGUGAGUAACACGUGGAUAACCUACCUAUAAGACUGGGAUAACUUCGGGAAACCGGAGCUAAUACCGGAUAAUAUUUUGAACCGCAUGGUUCAAAAGUGAAAGACGGUCUUGCUGUCACUUAUAGAUGGAUCCGCGCUGCAUUAGCUAGUUGGUAAGGUAACGGCUUACCAAGGCAACGAUGCAUAGCCGACCUGAGAGGGUGAUCGGCCACACUGGAACUGAGACACGGUCCAGACUCCUACGGGAGGCAGCAGUAGGGAAUCUUCCGCAAUGGGCGAAAGCCUGAUGGUGCAACGCCGCGUGAGUGAUGAAGGUCUUCGGAUCGUAAAACUCUGUUAUUAGGGAAGAACAUAUGUGUAAGUAACUGUGCACAUCUUGACGGUACCUAAUCAGAAAGCCACGGCUAACUACGUG
rnacentral:rRNA from 1 species